AUUGAACGCUGGCGGCAUGCCUUACACAUGCAAGUCGAACGGUAACAGGUCUUCGGAUGCUGACGAGUGGCGAACGGGUGAGUAAUACAUCGGAACGUGCCUAGUAGUGGGGGAUAACUACUCGAAAGAGUGGCUAAUACCGCAUGAGAUCUAAGGAUGAAAGCAGGGGAUCGCAAGACCUUGUGCUACUAAAGCGGCCGAUGGCAGAUUAGGUAGUUGGGGGGAUAAAAGCUUACCAAGCCGACGAUCUGUAGCUGGUCUGAGAGGACGAUCAGCCACACUGGGACUGAGACACGGCCCAGACUCCUACGGGAGGCAGCAGUGGGGAAUUUUGGACAAUGGGCGCAAGCCUGAUCCAGCAAUGCCGCGUGCAGGAUGAAGGCCUUCGGGUUGUAAACUGCUUUUGUACGGAACGAAAAGCCCUGGGUUAAUACCCUGGGGUCAUGACGGUACCGUAAGAAUAAGCACCGGCUAACUACGUGCCAGCCGCCGCUGUAAAAC
rnacentral:rRNA from 1 species